rnacentral:rRNA from 1 species
AUUGAACGCUGGCGGCAGGCUUAACACAUGCAAGUCGAGCGAGCGGCGGACGGGUGAGUAAUGUCUGGGAAACCUCCUGAUGGAGGGGGAUAUCCACUGGAAAUGGUAUCUUAUACCGUAUACCAUAAGAUGUGCCAAGAUGGGAUUAGCUAGUGGGUGGGCUAAUGGCUCAUCUAGGCGACGAUCCCUAGUUGGUCUGAGAGGAUGACCAGCCACACUGGAACUGAGACACGGUCCAGACUCCUACGGGAGGCAGCAGUGGGGAAUAUUGCACAAUGGGCGCAAGCCUGAUGCAGCCAUGCCGCGUGUGUGAAGAAGGCCUUCGGGUUGUAAAGCACUUUCAGCGGGGAGGCGUUACUCGCAGAAGAAGCAACGGCUAACUCCGUGCCAGCAGCCGCGGUAAUUC